rnacentral:rRNA from 1 species
CUGACGGGUGAGUAACACGUGGGUAACCUACCUAUAAGACUGGGAUAACUUCGGGAAACCGGAGCUAAUACCGGAUAAUAUUUCGAACCGCAUGGUUCGAUAGUGAAAGAUGGUUUUGCUAUCACUUAUAGAUGGACCCGCGCCGUAUUAGCUAGUUGGUAAGGUAACGGCUUACCAAGGCGACGAUACGUAGCCGACCUGAGAGGGUGAUCGGCCACACUGGAACUGAGACACGGUCCAGACUCCUACGGGAGGCAGCAGCA